AGCUUUGUGCAGUGGCAGUAUCGUACCAAUGAGGUUUAUCCAAAGCAUGAUUAUUGCUAAUUGAAUAGAAGUUCAUAUUCUACUAAAGACAUCCUGGUGACUCAGGCCGGGGUGAUCAAAAUCCAUGAGCUCCAUAUGGG
rnacentral:snRNA from 1 species